UAGGGAAUCUUCGGCAAUGGACGAAAGUCUGACCGAGCAACGCCGCGUGAGUGAAGAAGGUUUUCGGAUCGUAAAACUCUGUUGUUAGAGAAGAACAAGGAUGAGAGUAACUGUUCAUCCCUUGACGGUAUCUAACCAGAAAGCCACGGCUAACUACGUGCCAGCAGCCGCGGUAAUACGUAGGUGGCAAGCGUUGUCCGGAUUUAUUGGGCGUAAAGCGAGCGCAGGCGGUUUCUUAAGUCUGAUGUGAAAGCCCCCGGCUCAAGCGGGGAGGGUCAUUGGAAACUGGGAGACUUGAGUGCAGAAGAGGAGAGUGGAAUUCCAUGUGUAGCGGUGAAAUGCGUAGAUAUAUGGAGGAACACCAGUGGCGAAGGCGGCUCUCCGGUCUGUAACUGACGCUGAGGCUCGAAAGCGUGGGGAGCAAACA
rnacentral:rRNA from 1 species